rnacentral:rRNA from 1 species
UACGUAGGGCGCGAGCGUUGUCCGGAAUUAUUGGGCGUAAAGAGCUCGUAGGCGGCCUGUUGCGUCCGCUGUGAAAUCCCGGGGCUCAACCCCGGGCUUGCAGUGGAUACGGGCUGGCUAGAGGCAGGCAGGGGAGAACGGAAUUCCCGGUGUAGCGGUGAAAUGCGCAGAUAUCGGGAGGAACACCGGUGGCGAAGGCGGUUCUCUGGGCCUGUACUGACGCUGAGGAGCGAAAGCGUGGGGAGCGAACAGG